rnacentral:rRNA from 1 species
UCAAUGGAGGCAACUCUGAACCAGCCAUGCCGCGUGCAGGAUGACUGCCCUAUGGGUUGUAAACUGCUUUAUUACGGGGAGAAAUUAUCUACGAGUAGAUAACUGACGGUACCGUAAGAAUAAGCACCGGCUAACUCCGUGCCAGCAGCCGCGGUAAUACGGAGGGUGCAAGCGUUAUCCGGAUUUAUUGGGUUUAAAGGGUCCGUAGGCGGGCUUAUAAGUCAGAGGUGAAAUCCCAUCGCUCAACGAUGGAACUGCCUUUGAUACUGUAGGUCUUGAAUGUAUUUGAAGUAGGCGGAAUAUGUAGUGUAGCGGUGAAAUGCAUAGAUAUUACAUAGAACACCAAUUGCGAAGGCAGCUUACUAAGAUAUAAUUGACGCUGAUGGACGAAAGCGUGGGUAGCGAACGGGAUUAGAUACCCUGGUAG